ensembl:snoRNA
CCUGUAUGAUGAAAUGCGAACACACUGACUUCAAUUGUGGAGGUCUGCAAUUAGCUCUAUCUGAUU